UACGUAGGGCGCAAGCGUUGUCCGGAAUUAUUGGGCGUAAAGAGCUCGUAGGCGGUUUGUCGCGUCUGCUGUGAAAACUCGAGGCUCAACCUCGGGCUUGCAGUGGGUACUGGCAGACUAGAGUGCGGUAGGGGUGACUGGAAUUCCUGGUGUAGCGGUGGAAUGCGCAGAUAUCAGGAGGAACACCGGUGGCGAAGGCGGGUCUCUGGGCCGAUACUGACGCUGAGGCGCGAAAGCCAGGGGAGCAAACGGG
rnacentral:rRNA from 1 species